UACGAAGGGUGCAAGCGUUACUCGGAAUUACUGGGCGUAAAGCGUGCGUAGGUGGUUUGUUAAGUCUGUUGUGAAAGCCCCGGGCUCAACCUGGGAAUUGCAUUUGAGACUGCGUAGCUAGGGUGCGGAAGAGGGAAGCGGAAUUUCCGGUGUAGCGGUGAAAUGCGUAGAUAUCGGAAGGAACACCAGUGGCGAAAGCGGCUUCCUGGUCCAGCACCGACGUUCAGGCACGAAAGCGUGGGGAGCAAACAGG
rnacentral:rRNA from 1 species